rnacentral:lncRNA from 1 species
UCAUACCAAUCAAAUGCUCACUACACAGAUUAUAAAAUAAAAAAUAAAAUGGUAUGUUUUAUUUUUAUGAUGGAGCAACAUGUGUGUUAAUCAAUGAUACACUACAUCUGAGCAAGGAUGACAUUUGGUUGGAAAUCAAAGACUUGUCAACUGGUAAAAAUUGGGAGUCAUGAAUUUUGUUUAAAAACAGCUUCAUAAGUGAGUGUAAGAAAGAAAGAAGGAUUGCUUGUACUCAACCCUGGCUGGUCCUACUAUUUAAUAGAGCAGGGGGGGUGUCAAACAAGAACCCACAAUCCCAAGGUGCCAGCACCGCCUACUCCUGUCACCGUCCCUCCCACCUCCAUCUCAGCCUUCCCGCCGCCCAUAUCCCACGUGGCAGCGGGAAUUUGGCGCUCAUCCUGCUGGCAUUGUCCUUUGUGCAUAUCUGGAGCUGGCACGUCUCAUUGGGAACGCGGGAGAGCAGGGAACAGGGAACAGGAGGAGAACGGGCGGGGAGCAAACUAACGGAAGAAGAGGUGUUAGAAGGAAGGGGAAGGGGAAGGGAAGGGCAGGAGAAGGGGACGGGGUCGAGGAGGAGCUGGGAACUGUAACUGACGCUGCUGUCAUGCUUGUUGUGCGGUGAGGGUAUGGGGAA